GACCCGUGGCGGAAAGCUCAGUAACACGUGGCCGAACUACCCUAUGGACCAGAACAACCUCGGGAAACUGAGAGUAAUUCUGGAUACGACUUCCUUCCUUGAAUGGGGGGAGUCGGAAACGCUCAGGCGCCAUAGGAUGUGGCUGCGGCCGAUUAGGUAGACGGCGGGGUAACGGCCCACCGUGCCGAUAAUCGGUACGGGUUGUGAGAGCAAGAGCCCGGAGAUGGAAUCUGAGACAAGAUUCCAGGCCCUACGGGGCGCAGCAGGCGCGAAACCUUUACACUGCACGAAAGUGCGAUAGGGGGACUCCAAGUGCGAGGGCAUACAGUCCUCGCUUUUGUGUACCGUAAGGUGGUACACGAAUAAGAGCUGGGCAAGACCGGUGCCAGCCGCCGCGGUAAUACCGGCAGCUCGAGUGAUGACCGCUAUUAUUGGGCCUAAAGCGUCCGUAGCCGGCCGAACAGGUCCGUUGGGAAAUCCACUGGCUCAACCAGUGGGCGUCCAGCGGAAACCCGUCGGCUUGGGGCCGGAAGACCUGAGGGGUACGUCUGGGGUAGGAGUGAAAUCCUGUAAUCCUGGACGGACCGCCGGUGGCGAAAGCGCCUCAGGAGGACGGACCCGACGGUGAGGGACGAAAGCUAGGGUCACGAACCGGA
rnacentral:rRNA from 1 species